rnacentral:misc_RNA from 1 species
AGCGCAUCAGCAACAUGAAGAUUGUUAUUGCAACUGUUGUUCUCGGGGUUGUGAUGGGAGUGACCUGCGCCUUCUCUACCCCAGAGAAGCCUCAGUCUGUGGUCCAAACUGAUACGAAGGAAGAUAAAAUCAGGCUAGAUGGCAAAAUUCCUUGAUUUUGGCAAAAUUAGUGAAGAAAAGUUCAGCGGAGAAAAGCCUUGCUCAAGACGAUGACGAAAUCCACGACCAUGGCAGACAGGAAAAAAUAGUUCCACCCAGUAUAGAUUUCUUUCAUGAGGACGAAGUGAAAGAGGACGCUGGUCAUCAUCAUCAUAAAACCAACCAUCACGAUAAGAAUCACGAAGGCAAUUCUAAGGGAGAACAUGCCUCUCAACCAUGAUUGGGAUGGCGACAGCAUGGCAACCUCGAGGAUGACAACGGCAAUGCUAAGGACGAACUACCAUAUGUGUAUACACUGAUGUAUAUAUCUAUAUGCUGGUAUAUACAUGUGUGUACAUGAAGAUUAUUGGUUAAAUUUAAAACGACAUCAAAUUUCAAUCACACCCCCCCCCCCAAAAAAAAAAAAAAAACAUCCAGUCUAUCACUCAGUCAAACUAAUACUAAACAUAUCAACUUUAAAAGAUGUUAAUUGAAUAUGAUAGGUAGAUAAAUAUUACCUUAAUUUAAAACUGUAUCUGACUGCAAAUCUAGUUCUAAUUGUUUUGUUCAAACAGUUAGUAAUUGCUUGUGUUAUAAUCAUUAUUAUACAUAGCCAAUAAAGAGCACCUGUAUAAUGGCACUCCAAAAGCCGGAGAAAUAAAGAAAUCAAAGCAUGCA